UACGAAGGGGGGCUAGCGUUGCUCGGAAUCACUGGGCGUAAAGCGCACGUAGGCGGCUUUCUAAGUCAGGGGUGAAAUCCUGGAGCUCAACUCCAGAACUGCCUUUGAUACUGGAAAGCUUGAGUUCGAGAGAGGUGAGUGGAACUGCGAGUGUAGAGGUGAAAUUCGUAGAUAUUCGCAAGAACACCAGUGGCGAAGGCGGCUCACUGGCUCGAUACUGACGCUGAGGUGCGAAAGCGUGGGGAGCAAACAGG
rnacentral:rRNA from 1 species